GCUGGGGUGGCGGAACUGGCAGACGCGCUGGGUUUAGGACCCAGUGGGGUAACACCCGUGGAGGUUCGAGUCCUCUCCCCAGCA
rnacentral:tRNA from 1 species